rnacentral:rRNA from 1 species
CCCUUAGAUGUUCUGGGCCGCACGCGUGCUACACUGAGUGGAUCAGCGGGUCAGGUUGCGCGAAAGUGUUUCCUAAUCUUGAAAUCCGCUCGUGAUGGGGAUUGACGGUUGCAAUUUUCCGUCAUGAACGAGGAAUACCUUGUAAGCGCGGGUCAUCAUCCCGCGCUGAAUACGUCCUUGCCCUUUGUACACACCGCCCGUCGCUCCUACCGAUUGAGUGGUCCGGUGAGGCUUUGGGAUCUGAGCAAAGAGAGCGUUUCGCUCGUUUUGCCCGGAAAACUCAGUCGAACCUUAUCAUUUAGAGGAAGGAGAAGUCGUAACA